UGCGGAUUAUUUUAUUUUUGUUUGUGUUUUAUUGUUAUUUUUGGCAAAGUAUUGAUUUGUUAUUGUAUUUCCUAUUGAUUUAAUUCUUUUUGUUAUAGUUUAUUAGUACCGUGUGGGGCCUUGGAUUUUGCUUUUGUAAGUUGAUUUUUUUUGUUGUACCUUGUGUAUCAGGGUUUACUUAUUUUUAUUAUUUAUUUUUAUUUCCCGAUUUCGGAGGAGUUAAGUUAUUUGUUUAAGUUAUUGUGUUAUUAGUAUUUAUAACAUUAAUUUGGUAGUGAUAUGUUAUUCGUCUUUGAUGGUAUCUGGUUUCUUGAGAAAUGAAUUUAAUUUACACUUUUUGUUUAAUGGUCAUUUUUGUUUGUCUUUUUUAAUUUGAGGUGAAGGUAUUGGGGGAUAAGCUUUGAUUCUUUUUUAUAAUGGUAAUUCAUUUAAGUUGUUUUGUGGACUUUAUGUUGGUUAUUUAUUUAAGUAUUUUAAAAUUUUACUGCUUGUUAUUUGUGAUUUUGGUUUUAUUUAAUUUUUUAUUGAGAUGUUUGGUUGAAUUUUUUGACUAUUGUACUUAUGGUUGAAUUAGUAUAUUUGGAUUUUAUAUAAUUUUGCUUUGAUGUUAAUUUUCUUAGAGGAAUUAGGCAAAGGGUUGAUGUUCGCCUGUUUAUCAAAAACAUCUCUUCUUGUUAUUAAUUUGAAGUAUGGUCUGCCCACUGAUAUGUAUUGAAGGGCCGCGGUAUUUUGACCGUGCAAAGGUAGCGUAAUCAUUAGUUCUUUAAUUGUGAACUGGUAUGAAUGGCUUGACGAGACAUCAUCUGUCUUUAUUUUGGAAUUUCUUAUUGAAUUUGGUCUUUAGGUAAAAAUACCUAGAUUUUUUUAUGGGACGAGAAGACCCUAUAGAGUUUUAUAUAUUUUUUUCUUUAUGGUUUGUUUAAGUGUUGUGUGAAUUAUAAUUGUAUUUUGUUGGGGCGAUGGGAGGAUAGAAUUAACCCCUCCGUUGUUUUUUUCAUUUAUUUAUGUUUUUUUGAUCCUUUAAUAUUGAUUGUAAGAUUAAAUUACCUUAGGGAUAACAGCGUAAUCUUUCUUGAGAGUUCAUAUUGACAGGAGGGUUUGCGACCUCGAUGUUGGAUUAAGAUGAAUUUUUGGUGUAGAGGCUUUAAAUAAGUUAUAUUAGGUCUGUUCGACCUUUAAAAUCUUACAUGAUCUGAGUUCAAACCGGCGUGAGCCAGGUUGGUUUCUAUCUAUAAUUUUUUUUAAUUUCUUAGUACGAGAGGACCAGAUAUUGGGAAUAAUUUUCUUUGCUUUGAAUUUUAUUAAUUU
rnacentral:rRNA from 1 species